rnacentral:rRNA from 1 species
UACGUAGGGGGCAAGCGUUGUCCGGAAUCAUUGGGCGUAAAGCGCGUGUAGGCGGCUCGAUAAGUCUGCUGUGAAAGUCCAGGGCUCAACCCUGGGAUGCCGGUGGAUACUGUCGAGCUCGAGUCCGGAAGAGGCGAGUGGAAUUCCUGGUGUAGCGGUGUAAUGCGCAGAUAUCAGGAGGAACACCGAUGGCGAAGGCAGCUCGCUGGGACGUGACUGACGCUGAGACGCGAAAGCGUGGGGAGCAAACAGG